rfam:Myotis lucifugus cont2.33345, whole genome shotgun sequence.
GAGACACCCUUCUGGGGCAAGACUUGCUUCAGUGCGGCUUUGGUGCUCACUGAGUCUGCCCCCUGAGUGUGUCCCU